rnacentral:rRNA from 1 species
GACGAACGCUGGCGGCGUGCUUUACACAUGCAAGUCGUACGGUGAAGGUGGAGCUUGCUCCGCCGGAUCAGCGGCGAACGGGUGAGUAACACGUGGGCAACCUGCCCCUAACUUUGGGAUAACUACUCGAAAGAGUAGCUAAUACCGGAUAUGAAGUCUGUAGGCAUCUACGGAUUUGGAAAGUUUUUCGGUUAGGGAUGGGCCCGCGGCCUAUCAGCUUGUUGGUGAGGUAGUGGCUCACCAAGGCGACGACGGGUAGCCGGCCUGAGAGGGCGACCGGCCACACUGGGACUGAGACACGGCCCAGACUCCUACGGGAGGCAGCAGUGGGGAAUAUUGCGCAAUGGGCGAAAGCCUGACGCAGCAACGCCGCGUGCGGGAUGAAGGCCUUCGGGUUGUAAACCGCUUUCAGCAGGGAAGAAGCGAAAGUGACGGUACCUGCAGAAGAAGCACCGGCUAACUACGUGCCAGCCGCCGCAGUAA